GUCCACACAACUUUUGUUCCUCUACAUCCCUCUUAAGUUUCCAUAAUUAAGCAAGAGUAUGUGAAGAGUAGUUAGGGUUGCCACCUUUCUUGAAAAAAAAAAAAUUCAUGCCUUACUAAUUUGCAUAAUACAUUUUGUAUGUGUGACAUCAAGGAGUGACAAAGAGAUAAUUCUGUAAAAUCACCAAAACUACUUACAGAUUGAUUCCACUGUAUUUAUGGUUGCUCCCAUUGUCUCCCUGUCUCAGUCUCCCAGGUCUCCCUAUGUAUCACAAUGCCCCCAUGUCUCCCGGUGUCUCUUAGUCUCCCAGUCUCUGUGUCCCCAUGUCUCCCAGUGUCCCCUAGUCUCCCAGUCCCCCAAUCUCCCAGUGUCUCAGUGU